rnacentral:rRNA from 1 species
AUUAUUAAAUAGCCGCAGUAUUUUGACUGUGCAAAGGUAGCAUAAUCAAUUGUCUUUUAAUUAAAGACUGGAAUGAAGGAAUGAAUGAAAUUUAAACUGUCUAUAAUAAAAAAUUUUAAUUUUAAUUUUAAGUCAAAAUGCUUAAAUAAAAUUAUGGGACGAGAAGACCCUAUAGAAUUUUAUAUAAAUUUUUAAAUAAUUAUGUGAGUAAAAAAAUUAAAUUUAAAAUUAUAUUUUAUUGGGAGGAUAAUUAAAUUAAUUUAACUUUAUUAAUUAAUAAUAUUAUAUAUAUAUA